AUGGCAAACGUGCUAGCAAGCCCCGAGUGCGGUGGCCCGUGCAACAUGAAGAAGACCAUCCGGACAAAGGGCAGGUACCUUAAUUUUGUAAGCAAGAUCUCAAGAAAGUAUAUAGGGAGGAGAUUGACAAGGUGCAUGCAAGAUCUCAAGUUCAUUGCUGUCUUUUUCUGUAUGAACAUUUUCUUAUUUGGAGUUGCAGCCGAUUUAUGGUGUACCAACCGACUUGGCUUGGGAUGUAUUGUAGUUGGUUUGGUUGCAUCAACCAACAAGUCUUAUUAUGUAUUGCAGUUGGUUUGGUACCAUCAGCCGACUGGCCGGUUGGAAAACAAGCGGGGAAAACAUGUACUGUGA
rnacentral:rRNA from 1 species